ensembl:lncRNA
GGCUUUUACCGGAGCUGUUUUUCAGCUCUGACAGCUCGUAUGCGAGGUCAUUACAGAGUGUUACGACAGCUCUGCGAUUUGGCCCUGUUUUAUUUUGACUGGUUAAAAAGGGAGCAUGAGAGCUGAGGAGGACUUUUCUCAUUUCUUUACAUGCUUUUAUGCUGAAUCUCUGUUUCCAUGGUAGCAUUUAGAAGUGUAGAGGGAUCUGUUAGCACUCAGCGCUGUGCUGCAAAGUCUGUACGCUUGUGAAAGUCGUGUUUGGAGAGUAUAGGAAAACGUUUAAAGCCAUAUUGUUCUCACAGAUCAUGAAUUCGCUGACAGUUAAGAGUCAUCUGAUGUUAUUUUUAAGCAUUAGAAGUUGUUGUUUUUUUUUUUUUAAAUUGCAGUAAUUUUCAGUGUUUUAAUCCCAGAUAUGCCUGUAAAUACUGACCUGACAAGUUCAGUUACCUCUUUUCUGUCAUUUAUUUUAUUGUUAUUUUUAGUGUUCUAGUUAUGCAUUAUUAACCCUCCUAUUAUGUUAUUACACAUUUGCUUAUAUAUGCAAAUAUGUCUUCUUAUGGCUUAUCUCGGACAAGGUUUACUGUUUGAAGCUGUUCCUUUGCGUGUAUUUAAACUGUGGAAGUCAUUUUGACACGUAACAUAAUGGAGGUAACUUUUUCCCCCAACAUAAUAGGAGGGUUAAAGAAGCCGUUUUUAAUGUUUAUAGUCCUUGGCUUUCUGGGAGGUGAAAUGUAUGUAACUGCAGUUAAAAACAUUGACAAAAUAUGCCUCUUUUGAAACUGCAUAUGCCCCAUGAGUGUUUUUGUGGUAGGUGGCUUUUUUUGUGUUUUUCAGUGUUUUUUGUGUUUUUCAGUGUUUUUUGUGGUUUGUAAACAUUACAAACGGCAGCUUUUAAUUAUUCUUUUGUUUUUAAAUCACAAUCACUUAUUUCCUAACCUUUUUUUCCUUUUACAGUUAGGGGUUGCCUAAUUUGACAGAUACAGUCCUCAUACACUUGUUCAUUAUUGUUUUUAAUCCGUUUUCUUCCCUUCCUUCUGUGUUUAAGCUUGACCAAUUUAAGUACUUUAUUAACUUGUGUUUUUUUUUGUUGGUUUAAACUUUAAACGAGGUGAAAAUGAAAGGACUAGGGUUCUCCUAGACCUCUACUAUAACAUGAGAGUAGUUAUAUCAUACACUUUCUGUCAAACGGUCAAUCAAAGUGUUGUGUGUGAUAAUUUAUGACCCUCUGUGCUUCCCUGACUGACAGGUCUGUAGGGGUGGUGAGGGGGGUAACCCUAUGGAGUUUAUCAGAUGAUCAAUCUGGCUCCUUUGUGUCUUGGGGUGUUGUGGAGAGGUGUGUGUUGGGGGGAGAAUAGUCCCCCUCCCAACGAAAGGUGUUUAUGUUAAUGAGUUUGGUUUUUGGUGGGGUGAAAUACGUCUGAAAAGAAAUAAUGUUUUUAAUAUGGGGAUGUGUUUGUGGUACUUUGUGGCGUUAUUUCGUUUUACCACAAACAUCCCCAUAUUAAAAACAUUAUUUCUUUUCAGACGUAUUUCACCCCACCAAAAACCAAACUCAUUAACAUAAACACCUUUCGUUGGGAGGGGGACUAUCCCCCCCCCAACACACACCUCUCCACAACAUCCCCAGACACAAAGGAGCCAGAUUGAUCAUCUGAUAAACUCCAUAGGGUUACCCCCCUCACCACCCCUACAGACCUGUCAGUCAGGGAAGCA